UUUAUGGAGAGUUUGAUCCUGGCUCAGGAUGAACGCUGGCGGCGUGCCUAAUACAUGCAAGUCGAGCGAACGGACGAGAAGCUUGCUUCUCUGAUGUUAGCGGCGGACGGGUGAGUAACACGUGGAUAACCUACCUAUAAGACUGGGAUAACUUCGGGAAACCGUAGCUAAUAC
rnacentral:rRNA from 1 species